GACGAACGCUGGCGGCGUGCCUAAUACAUGCAAGUCGAACGGAACGGCUCUGUUACCGUGGGGUGCUCGAGUGGCGAACGGGUGAGUAACACGUGAGUAACCUGCCCUCGACGUUGGGAUAACCUCAGGAAACUGGGGCUAAUACCGGACAGGUGCUCCUGCUGCAUGGCGGGGGUUGGAAAGUGUCGGCGGUUGGGGAUGGACUUGCGGUUUAGCAGUUGGUUGGUGGGGUAGUGGCUUACCAAGGCUUUGACGGGUAGGCGGCCUGAGAGGGUGACCGGCGACAUUGGGACUGCGAUACGGCGCAGUCUCCUACGGUAGGCAGCAGUGGGGAAUAUUGCGCAGUGGGCGGAAGCCUGAUGCGACAACGCCGCGUGCGGGAUGACGGCCUUCGAGUUGUAAACCGCUUUCGCCUGUGACGAAGCGUGAGUGACGGUAAUGAGUAAGGAAGCACCGGCUAACUACGUG
rnacentral:rRNA from 1 species